rnacentral:rRNA from 1 species
GACGAACGCUGGCGGCGUGCUUAACACAUGCAAGUCGAACGGAAAGGCCCUGCUUGCAGGGUACUCGAGUGGCGAACGGGUGAGUAACACGUGGGUGAUCUGCCCUCCACUUCGGGAUAUGCUUUGGAAACUGGGUGUAUUACCGGAUAUGAGCCAUCUUUCUUGUGGUGGUUGGAAAGUUUUUUCGGUGUAGGAGGAGCUCGCGGCCUAUCAGAUUGUUGGUGGGGUAAUGGCCUACCAAGGCGGCGACGGGUAGCCGGCCUGAGAGGGUGUACGGCCACAUAGGGAGUGAGAGACGGGCCAGAGUCCUACGGGAGGCAGAGGUGGGGAAUAUUGCACAAUGGGGGCAAGAGUGAUGCAGAGAAGCGGCGUGGGGGAUGAAGGCGUUUGGGUUGUAAACUCCUUUCGCUAGGGAGGAAGAUUUGUUGUGACGGUACCGAGAUAAGAAGCACCGGCUAACUACGUG